GUCUAUUCGAAUAAGCACCGGCUAACUCCGUGCCAGCAGCCGCGGUAAUACGGAGGGUGCAAGCGUUAUCCGGAUUUAUUGGUUUAAAGGGUCCGUAGGCUGAUGUGUAAGUCAGUGGUGAAAUCUCACAGCUUAACUGUGAAACUGCCAUUGAUACUGCAUGUCUUGAGUGUUGUUGAAGUAGCUGGAAUAAGUAGUGUAGCGGUGAAAUGCAUAGAUAUUACUUAGAACACCAAUUGCGAAGGCAGGUUACUAAGCAACAACUGACGCUGAUGGACGAAAGCGUGGGGAGCGAACAGGAUUAGAUACCCUGGUAGUCCACGCCGUAAACGAUGCUAACUCGUUUUUGGGUUUUCGGAUUCAGAGACUAAGCGAAAGUGAUAAGUUAGCCACCUGGGGAGUACGUUCGCAAGAAUGAAACUCAAAGGAAUUGACGGGGGCCCGCACAAGCGGUGGAUUAUGUGGUUUAAUUCGAUGAUACGCGAGGAACCUUACCAAGGCUUAAAUGGGAAAUGACAGGCUUAGAAAUAGGCUUUUCUUCGGACAUUUUUCAAGGUGCUGCAUGGUUGUCGUCAGCUCGUGCCGUGAGGUGUUAGGUUAAGUCCUGCAACGAGCGCAACCCCUGUCACUAGUUGCCAUCAUUCAGUUGGGGACUCUAGUGAGACUGCCUACGCAAGUAGAGAGGAAGGUGGGGAUGACGUCAAAUCAUCACGGCCCUUACGCCUUGGGCCACACACGUAAUACAAUGGCCGGUACAGAGGGCAGCUACACAGCGAUGUGAUGCAAAUCUCGAAAGCCGGUCUCAGUUCGGAUUGGAGUCUGCAACUCGACUCUAUGAAGCUGGAAUCGCUAGUAAUCGCGCAUCAGCCAUGGCGCGGUGAAUACGUUCCCGGGCCUUGUACACACCGCCCGUCAAGCCAUGGAAGUCUGGGGUACCUGAAGUCGGUGACCGUAACAGGAGCUGCCUAGGGUAAAAAGCC
rnacentral:rRNA from 1 species